rnacentral:tRNA from 1 species
GUCAGUGUGUUGGAACUGGUAGACAAGACGGACUCAAAAUCCGUUGCUUCACGGCGUGAGAGUUCGAGUCUCUCCACUGAUACCA